ACCACACUGGAAACUAAAGAUAAAAGAGGAUUCUCAAGAGAUAAUUUCUUCACAACAAGGAUAAAACGCAUGGUCAGUCUGGAAAGUAUAUACAUACAGGGUAAGAAUUGACAUAAGUUUUGAAAACAACAUGAGAUGUAACUACAGGAGACACCUAAAAUGAAGAAAAAGAGAGCUUGAAAAUCCAGGACAUUAGACACAAAGCACCUUCAGAUGACUCACAUCUAUCUCUCCAUAUGUCCAAAAGCAGAAGACUGUGAUACAAGCCCAGAAUUCUUUGUCAUAUUAUUAACAACAGAAGACAGCCAGACUCACUUUUCUUUGCUCCAGAUCCUAAUAUUAGUUUUCACAACAUCUUCUUGGCCUACCACUACCAGUAAUGCAUGAUGACUUGGGAAUCCUACCCAGAACUAAAUAACUUUACCUCCCACAGUAAAGGUGGCAUAGUUCCCAACU